GGCGAGGUAGCUCAGUUGGUUAGAGCGUUGGAUUCAUAACCCAGAGGUCACGGGAUCGUGCCCCGUUCUCGCUACUA
rnacentral:tRNA from 2 species